UGGGGAAUUUUGGACAAUGGGCGAAAGCCUGAUCCAGCAAUGCCGCGUGUGUGAAGAAGGCCCUCGGGUUGUAAAGCACUUUUGUCCGGAAAGAAAUCCUUGGCUCUAAUACAGUCGGGGGAUGACGGUACCGGAAGAAUAAGCACCGGCUAACUACGUGCCAGCAGCCGCGGUAAUACGUAGGGUGCAAGCGUUAAUCGGAAUUACUGGGCGUAAAGCGUGCGCAGGCGGUUUGCUAAGACCGAUGUGAAAUCCCCGGGCUCAACCUGGGAACUGCAUUGGUGACUGGCAGGCUAGAGUAUGGCAGAGGGGGGUAGAAUUCCACGUGUAGCAGUGAAAUGCGUAGAGAUGUGGAGGAAUACCGAUGGCGAAGGCAGCCCCCUGGCAAGUACUGACGCUCAUGCACGAAAAGCGUGGGGAGCAAAACAGGAUUAAUACCCUGGUAGUCCACGCCCUAAAANGAUGUCAACUAGUUGUUGGGGAUUCAUUUCCUUAGUAACGUAGCUAACGCGUGAAGUUGACCGCCU
rnacentral:rRNA from 1 species